rnacentral:tRNA from 1 species
GAAAACUCUAUUAAAAAGCCGCUAACUUUUUAAAAACAUUCACAGUUAGUUUUCU